GAUGAACGCUGGCGGCGUGCCUAAUACAUGCGAGUCGAGCGAACAGACGAGGAGCUUGCUCCUCUGACGUUAGCGGCGGACGGGUGAGUAACACGUGGAUAACCUACCUAUAAGACUGGGAUAACUUCGGGAAACCGGAGCUAAUACCGGAUAAUAUAUUGAACCGCAUGGUUCAAUAGUGAAAGACGGUUUUGCUGUCACUUAUAGAUGGAUCCGUGCCGCAUUAGCUAGUUGGUAAGGUAACGGCUUACCAAGGCGACGAUGCGUAGCCGACCUGAGAGGGUGAUCGGCCACACUGGAACUGAGACACGGUCCAGACUCCUACGGGAGGCAGCAGUAGGGAAUCUUCCGCAAUGGGCGAAAGCCUGACGGAGCAACGCCGCGUGAGUGAUGAAGGUCUUCGGAUCGUAAAACUCUGUUAUUAGGGAAGAACAAAUGUGUAAGUAACUAUGCACGUCUUGACGGUACCUAAUCAGAAAGCCACGGCUAACUACGUG
rnacentral:rRNA from 1 species